rnacentral:rRNA from 1 species
UACGACUACAUAUCAGGCAUAUCAAUAAGCGGAGGAAAAGAAACUAACAUAGGAUUCCCUCAGUAACGGCGAGUGAAGCGGGAAGAGCUCAAAUUUGAAAUCUUCAAGGGUUUACCUUUACGAAUUGUAGUUUAAAGAAGUGUUUUCUGUUAGGAGUUAGGUAAAAGUUCUUUGGAAUAGGACAUCAUAGAGGGUGAGAAUCCCGUAUUUGACUAUUCUUUCUAGCUUUGUGAUACACUUUCAAAGAGUCGGAUUGUUUGGGAAUGCAGUCCAAAAUGGGUGGUAAAUUUCAUCUAAAGCUAAAUAUUGGCGAGAGACCGAUAGCGAACAAGUACCAUGAGGGAAAGAUGAAAAGAACUUUGAAAAGAGAGUUAAACAGUACGUGAAAUUGUCAAAAGGGAAGCGUUUGACACCAGUGUUGUUUUCUACGAAAAUCAAUUAUAGAUAGGAUUGCAUGCUAAGUAUUAAUUGACCUCUAUCAGCUUGCUGCUUAGUUUUUGGUCAUUUUGUGAAUGCACUUUUCGGUGGAACAAGUCAACAUCAAUUUCUUUUGCCGUAAAAAGGGUAAGAGGAAGGUGGCUUAGGUUCGGCUGAAGUGUUUAUAGCCUUUCUGCUCCUGCAGUCGGAGAGAUUGAGGUCUGCAGCGUAGACUCCUUCGGGGCUAGAUACGUUGGUGCUAAGUUAUAGCUUUGUAUAGACAACAUGUUGACUAUGCUUAGUCAUGUAGGCUUACUCGCUGAGAGUAUUUUACCUACGCUUAGGAUGUUGACACACGCGCGUGCUCG